ensembl:lncRNA
GCCUAGGGCUGGGGAGCUGGAAGCUGAUGACUCAGCCGCAGGCCGUGGGCAGCCACACCUGUUUCCUGGCCCUGAGUCAGGCCACGGGCAGCACCUCCAGGGCCACGUGGAGCCCAUCUGGCUAAUGGGAUGUGGGUGGCAGAGGGAGGGGGCCAAAGGGAGGGGUCAGGUCAACAGUAAGGGGGCAUUUCCACCUGGAGGCCUGAGCUAUGCAGAAAAGCAGCGUCCCUGCAUCCCCACCAGCUUCUCAGGGGCCCAGACUACUUGAAGGGACUUCAAAAAUGAGCAUUUAAAAACCCUUGAGUUGAAGAAGCGUCCACAUAGAAAAAGGCGCACAGGUCUCCGGCAUAUUCCUAGAAGAAGACAUUCUGGGUCGUGUGGGGACCCAUGGGUCACCUUCCGAGCAGCUGCUAGACUGUUCUGCACGCUUUCCACUCCCAGCAUUACUUCGUGACAGCAGGACCGCACAGUACAGAAGAAACAUGUGGUUCUGGAGGUGAGGAGCCCGGGAGCCCUCCCAUCUUCCAGAACACCGGGAGUGACGGGGAAACUCUAAAGGCUCCGGCGGGAAGAGAGGACGUUAACAGCCGGUAAACAAGAGUCACUGACAUCAGCAGCAUGAGAUGAAAGGAGACGACGGUGACACCUCCACGUUGGAGGGAGGAGGCGUGCAUCCCGCAGCGCCCGGCCUCCCAGGCGGGGAAGCCAGGUGGACGCGGAUAAACCAACAGCGACACAGUGGUUCACGGAGAAGUGAAGCGUCUGCUCAUCACGAGGCAUCUCACGGAAAGUGAAAGACGGACUUUCCCGACACACAUUGCCGUCCAGGGCUGCGCGCUGAGAGCUGACAAAGGCUUCCUGCGAAUCGCUGAGGAAAAGUGAACCCCACGGGGCGGACCAAAGACACGGGCAGACGUCUCCCGGAGCAGGAGGCGCGGAAGGUGGGACGUGCCGAGGGCUGCUCUCUAGCCGCCGGUGGAAGGCUGAGCAGGACCGCACCAGACGCUGUCUCAUAGCCACUCGAUCAGCAAAACGCCUCGGAAAUGUGACCACCCCUCGGGAGAACAGGAGACAGGUCACUAGCCCCAUUCGUCACUGGGUAGAGUGUAAAACGAUGCGACUGACCUGGGACAGAUCCUUGUGUCAACAUGGACGUCGCCGUGUGCCCCGUCUCGCAGUUCAGCUGGGGAGCACAAGCGGGACUUCGCUCAGUUGUCCCAGGAGAUGUGUCCCGGACGGUCCGCAACAGCAUCCGUGUAAGAGCCAAACCUGGAAACAGCCCAGAGGCCAAACAGUAGACGGGACGAGUCAGCUGUGGAGCGUGAGGUCUCACCAACAAUGGAGAGGCGGGCUGGCGGCCCAGCAGCCCCCUCCAGGGACGCCGGGAGCCUGCCCUGGGGAACCCACCACCCCAGGCUGAGGCCUAAAGGCCCUGACGUGGAGCGCUCCGAGCCGAGGCCCGGCUGGAUCACUGGGGAGGGGCGUCCACAGGGACGCUGCCCUUGGACGUGACAGUGGUCGGGGCAGCAUCCUGUGCCUGCUCUCAACUGUGAUCUGCCACCUAGGACCCGGCAGGCCUGUACCCAGAUGUGGCGUCUGCAGGUCCCACCAAUGACCCA